UCUGAUUUGGUCCUUAUACCAUCACUCUAUCCAUGGAUUUUCAGCUGUUUUUGUUGAUUUGGGAGUAUAUGAUUGAGCUUAAUAUGAUAUCCAUUUCCCCUUUCAUUUUGAAAGAAACUACUUUUUUUCUGUUGUUGACUACUGCCUAAUUGAAUCCUAUUGCUGCAGAGAGCCUUUAGACAUACUUCUUUUUCAUUACCGAGAAGACAAGAAAGCCAGGAAAUCUGACGAAGGCAGAAAGAAGACCGCCAAAGUAACAACGCCAUCUUCCCAAGGAACUGCAGAAACUAAUCCCAUUUUGGGGGCAACAGGAGAUGGCUUGCUAUAUUAUGAUAACAACUAUGAAGAUGAGUCUUAUUGCAAUAUAUGGUUCACAGGAUAUGGCAUGCAAGAUUUUAAUGACGACUUUGAAAAUCAGCCUUUUCUCCCUGUAAUUGCGGGGAUGAUUUACUCCCAAACCUGAGUAUGCCUGGGAGUCCUCCUGAAUUGCCGGAGUUGCUUAACUUUAUAGAACAGUAUUCAGAGAGAAAGAUGGAAGAUCCAAAUGGAGGGAGUGCAAUUCCUGGAGAACUUGCUAAAUGAAGAAACAGUAGACGUGGCCGCCAUGAAACUUCAUCAUGAUGAGCACUUUGAAGGAGAUGGCUUGCUAUAUUGCAAUAUAUGGUUCACACGUUUUCAAUUGAAUAGUUUUCUUUGAUUAGUUAGGAGUUGUGCUCGUUAACAGAAAUGUUGCUUCCUUUCUUUUUUUUUUUUCUCUCUCCCUCUCUCUUUUGCUUUUUGUUUUUUUUUUUUUUUGCAGGAUAUGGCAUGCGAGAUUGUAAUGAUGACUAAGAAAAUCAGCCUUUUCUCCCUGUAAUUGGGGGGGAUGAUUUCCCCCCAAACCUGAGUAUGCCUGGGAGUCCUCGUGAAUUGCAGGAGUUGCUUAAUUUCAUAGAACAGUAUCCAGAGAGAAAGAUGGAAGAUCCAAAUGGAGGGAGUGCAAUUCCUGGAGUCCUUGCUAAAUGAAGAAACAGUAGAUGUAGCGGCCAUGAUACGCCAUAUUCAAAAACAUAAAAACCUUCGUAUUAUAAUUUGGAACUGUUUUUUUCUUUAAAUUACUGUUGUGUGUGUGUGUGUGUGUGUGUGUGUGUGUGUGUGUGUGUGUGU